rnacentral:rRNA from 1 species
GCACAGCGAAAGGUGCUUGCACCUUUCAAGUGAGUGGCGAACGGGUGAGUAACACGUGGACAACCUGCCUCAAGGCUGGGGAUAACAUUUGGAAACAGAUGCUAAUACCGAAUAAAACUCAGUGUCGCAUGACACAAAGUUAAAAGGCGCUUUGGCGUCACCUAGAGAUGGAUCCGCGGUGCAUUAGUUAGUUGGUGGGGUAAAGGCCUACCAAGACAAUGAUGCAUAGCCGAGUUGAGAGACUGAUCGGCCACAUUGGGACUGAGACACGGCCCAAACUCCUACGGGAGGCUGCAGUAGGGAAUCUUCCACAAUGGGCGAAAGCCUGAUGGAGCAACGCCGCGUGUGUGAUGAAGGCUUUCGGGUCGUAAAGCACUGUUGUAUGGGAAGAACAGCUAGAAUAGGGAAUGAUUUUAGUUUGACGGUACCAUACCAGAAAGGGACGGCUAAAUACGUGCCAGCAGCCGCGGUAAUACGUAUGUCCCGAGCGUUAUCCGGAUUUAUUGGGCGUAAAGCGAGCGCAGACGGUUGAUUAAGUCUGAUGUGAAAGCCCGGAGCUCAACUCCGGAAUGGCAUUGGAAACUGGUUAACUUGAGUGCAGUAGAGGUAAGUGGAACUCCAUGUGUAGCGGUGGAAUGCGUAGAUAUAUGGAAGAACACCAGUGGCGAAGGCGGCUUACUGGACUGUAACUGACGUUGAGGCUCGAAAGUGUGGGUAGCAAACAGGAUUAGAUACCCUGGUAGUCCACACCGUAAACGAUGAACACU